rnacentral:rRNA from 1 species
GCUCCAAUAGCGUAUAUUAAAAUUGUUGUGGUUAAAAAGCUCGUAGUUGGAAUUCUGCUGAGGACGACCGGUCCGCCACUGGGUGAGUAUCUGGCUCGGCUUGGCAUCUUCUUGGAGAACGUAUCUGCACUUGACUGUGUGGUGUGGUAACCAGGACCUUUACUUUGAAGGAAUUAAAAUGUUUCAAGCAGGCGUGCGCC